rnacentral:rRNA from 2 species
CAGUCGAGCGGACAGAUGGGAGCUUGCUCCCUGAUGUUAGCGGCGGACGGGUGAGUAACACGUGGGUAACCUGCCUGUAAGACUGGGAUAACUCCGGGAAACCGGGGCUAAUACCGGAUGCUUGAUUGAACCGCAUGGUUCAAUUAUAAAAGGUGGCUUUUAGCUACCACUUACAGAUGGACCCGCGGCGCAUUAGCUAGUUGGUGAGGUAACGGCUCACCAAGGCAACGAUGCGUAGCCGACCUGAGAGGGUGAUCGGCCACACUGGGACUGAGACACGGCCCAGACUCCUACGGGAGGCAGCAGUAGGGAAUCUUCCGCAAUGGACGAAAGUCUGACGGAGCAACGCCGCGUGAGUGAUGAAGGUUUUCGGAUCGUAAAACUCUGUUGUUAGGGAAGAACAAGUACCGUUCGAAUAGGGCGGUACCUUGACGGUACCUAACCAGAAAGCCACGGCUAACUACGUGCCAGCAGCCGCGGUAAUACGUAGGUGGCAAGCGUUGUCCGGAAUUAUUGGGCGUAAAGCGCGCGCAG